rnacentral:rRNA from 1 species
AGAAUCAACGCUGGCGGCGUGCCUAACACAUGCAAGUCGCACGAGAAAGGGUAGCAAUACCUGAGUAAAGUGGCACACGGGUGAGUAACACGUGAAUGAUCUACCUCCGAGUGGGGAAUAACUGAGAGAAAUCUUAGCUAAUACCGCAUAACACUUACGAGUCAAAGCAGCAAUGCGCUUGGAGAGGAGUUCGCGGCCGAUUAGUUAGUUGGCGGGGUAAUGGCCCACCAAGACGAUGAUCGGUA